UGCGCCUUCACUGCAAUAUCCACAACAGUACAAGCAAUGGAAAGAUUUUGAACACGAAUCCAUUUCGAUUCUAGGUGAAGCUGUUGUGCGCGUCUGAAGAUGGCGAAUGUUGUGGCAAACCAAGUGGGUGGUUCUUUUGGUGAUGCAAAUGAUGCCCAGAAAAAUGUGUUUGAUUUGUGUG